GACGAACGCUGGCGGCGUGCCUAACACAUGCAAGUCGAGCGGAGAUAAGCGGAUGGUAACUGAAGUUUGUCUUAGCGGCGGACGGGUGAGUAACACGUGGGCAACCUGCCUUAGAGUGGGGGAUAACACCGGGAAAUCGGUGCUAAUACCGCAUAACAUACACAAACUGCAUGGUAAGUGUAUCAAAGGAGCAAUCCGCUUUAAGAUGGGCCCGCGGCUGAUUAGCUAGUUGGUAAGGUAACGGCUUACCAAGGCGACGAUCAGUAGCCGACCUGAGAGGGUGACCGGCCACACUGGAACUGAGACACGGUCCAGACUCCUACGGGAGGCAGCAGUGGGGAAUAUUGCGCAAUGGGGGGAACCCUGACGCAGCAACGCCGCGUGGAGGAAGAAGGUCUUCGGAUUGUAAACUCCUGUCUUCUGGGACGAAGAAUGACGGUACCAGAGGAGGAAGCCACGGCUAACUACGUG
rnacentral:rRNA from 1 species